AUAGCUUCUUUCCAUUCACAAAAUUGCAUAGUUAAUGCACUCUUUCGCUUUCCCAGUUGAUUGAUGUUUGCUAUAUAUAGUCUGUUUGAUGUAUACCAGCUAAUUAGGGUCUUCUAUUCUAUUUAACAACUCCAUCAUCUCCUCAAUCAUCAUCACCUUCUUCUUCUUCGACUUGGAUCUUCAUGAUCUAAAAUCUCUAUGGCUCACCUCGCCGGAUUCUCACAUUCCCGGCGAUAUCACUGCGAAAAUAAUCCAAUCACGGGAUAACAGUGGCUUCUAAUCUGGCAGUGCUGCUCCCCUGCUGGUGAUGAUGGGUCUUCGUCUUGUGUAGCGCUGGAAGAGAUCUCAUCACCACAACUCCCUUUCUUUCUCCUGGCAUUAAUCUCGUAGGGAUCCCUCUGUUUAUGUUUACAUCGUCUAUGUGAAGAAACAAUCCCAACUUUAUUCAUCCUUAUCUUUUGUUGCUUGUCGGAUUGUUAUUGUACGUUAAAUUGCACAUCUCCCUACUUACUUGAUUCAGUGGCCGAUGAAGCAACCUGGGUGAGGAUCGGAAUAAACAGAUGAAGAGAGAUUAUCUCUGACUUUUUUUGACGACAUAGGAGCUCUUCGGAGAAGUAGGCGACGAAAGGACAUUAAAAAGCAAAUUAGGAACAAUAAUUACAGGUACCAUGGAUUAUUGGAUUUAGUACAUCGAUGUGGCGAGUAUCAAAGACUUAAUACCUCCAACCCGCUGGUACCUACUUUGUUUAUUUAUAGUACUUAUUAGUAAUUAUAGGUAUAAAUUAUUUUGCUUUCUGAUUAAUUUCUCUUGAUGCUACUUUUUGUAACCUUGAUUUUCAGUAACCCAAUUCCUCUAUGAAUAUAUAUGGCGGGUCGAGCGCUAUUUCCUCUUACUCUUUUAUUCAAAGAAGCAAUCAUUUUCGAUCAUAAAUCUAAAGGUUCUAACACAAAUAGAAUUGAAAAAUACUAAGUUAGAAGUAAAAACAUCGAGAUUUAUUAAAAUAGCCGUUCUAUUGCAGCGAGGGAUUAAAAAAAAUAAUAGGGCCGCCGGACUUUUGCCAUAGUCACUGGACAUCUAUCGCCACCGUCAAACUUGCACCAUAGCCUAUGGACCUUCGAUGUCAACCGUUGACCACCAGCCAUAUGAAUUCACGCGAUUAAUUUUUCAAAAGUGUUAUCUGCCUAGGAACUUGGUAGGCCAACAUGUGGUUCGGUGAUGAAGAAUCGGGUUGGUAUAUGUAGGUGAACGAUUCUUUCUAGAUGUUUUGAGUACUCUAACAUUACAAAAAAUAGAACUUUAGCAUUGAUAGUUUAACAGCGGCCACACAACCCGCUGUUAAAAAAAAUAUGGAACACCUAAUCGCGACAACUUCAGCCGCUGUUAAAAUUGUUCACAAACGAACAGCUCAGAUUGUUUAACCUCAUAAAUCUAUGGCCCAUAUUAAGUCUAGAAACUCUAAUUGCUUCUCCUCUUCCUAGAUUCAUAUAUAUUUGCCACUUCUUUUCUUCUUUUAUUCAUCAUCUGAACCAUCACAAUCUCUUAAUCCCUAAACGCCUCUUCUUUGUCAUGUACAGAUCUUUCUCCCCUUCACAAUCUCUGAAUCUCAUACACCCUCAACCCAGCUAACCCAUCCGAUUUAAAUCCUAUUUUCUCCCCCUGGCACUGUUCCAGCGGAUGAAAUCCAUCAUCCUCUCAUCCAAGUGGCUCAACAGCUUGACGAAGUUGACUGGAUUUCGAGCGGACGAGAGAAGGAGUAAAGAAGAGGAGUUAUACAAGCUGUUCCGGCGGAAAGAAGAUCACGAGACGACUGACGGCUAGGGUUAUGGUGGCUAGGGUGUUUCUAUUCUGGAUAAGAUUUCGUUGGUGGUUGUGUAUAUUGUGAUUUAGAUCUGAAAUUUUGUAUUGUGGCUUCUGUAUUUGGAUAUGCUUCUAGGUCUUGUAAUUAUUGGAUACAAUUGUUUUCUUAUUAGUGGAUAUCAUCUGUGUUGUUGCUUUGUUUAUUAUUCUUGCACUUUGGAUAUGUAUGCAGUUAACUUGAUGAACAACAAGUUUGACAAAAGAUGAACACAGAUUUAAUCUUGACGAGUCCGAUCUAGAUUUGCUUUUGACGAACAAAAGAUGAACAAGUUUUGAAGAAUCUAGAUUUGCUUUUGACAAAAGAUGAACACCGAUCUAACAGCGGCAACCAAUUUGCUGUUAGGGUUUUAAUUCAGCCACUGUUAGGGUUUUAAUUCGGCCGCUGUUAGGAUUUAGAUUCUAACCGUGGCCCACGGGCCGCUGUUAGGCUUCUUUAACAUUGCUCUACCUAGCGGAUAAGUGGCCACGGGUUAAACUUCCUAACAGCGGUCUAGAACGCUGUUAAACCUUAUUUCUGCCCUGCUAGGUUAGAGUUUUCUUGUAAUGUAAAACAUAUCUUGUUAAGCCAUGUAAGAUAGUGAGUUUAUCGAUAAAUGUAUGAGGAGGUAAGAGUAUGGAGAUAAAAAUGGGAGAGAUAUGGAGGUACUCAAGAUGGCUCGUAGGUGUGUAUGACGCCCUAAGGCAAUUAGCUUGUUAUAUCGAUUGGACUUUAGGUGUUUGGGAUAGGCGAGUGUAUAUGUUUGGUUAUGAAUGAUGUACCUUUCCUUUUAUAGUCCCCGGAUAAUCUGAAUCAUGGUGUCACAUAUCACCUACUAAUUGGUGACUUGCUUGAGGAUGAAUAUGAACACUUGAUCGAGAAUAGUUGAGAUUCGUUCUAAAGUUAGGAAUUGAAUCUAUUCCCUAAGACCUCUUCAUAGGCGUGCACUGCACGCCUUGAGCCGAUGGUGUGCGCCUUGAGCCGACUCUAUAGUCCUAAAAAUAGUUAAAGGCUCAGGGUCUAUCCGUUAGAACUUAGGUCAUCUCUCCAUCCCAAAAUUUAUUUAGAAAUUUGUAAUUGUAUUCAUAUUGCCACAUCAACAAGUUUAGCAAUUCAUUUAAUCAACAAUUUUCUACCACCUCCAUCCCUAAUUUGUUUAACAACUUUUAUUCAACAUUUAUAUAUUCCUUAACAAUAUUUUCCCACCAAUGAUAAUAGAAAAUUUUAAUUAUAAAUAUUUUUUUUAAAAAAGUGUUUCAUUUACUUACGUGGCAUUGCUAAUUGACUUUUUAAAUAAUUAUUUUUUAAUUUAUCAAGUUUAUAUAACUUUUUAAUAAAUAUUAUUUAGGUGUCAUCUCAUCCUCUAUAUUAUUUUAAUAAUUUUUAAAAUUUUAUAACGGACAUGCUCUUAAAACCCAAUUCUUUCUAAGCCUACAGUUAUCAUUUCGUUAAUCCUCUUACAUCACAAUUCCAGGCUCUGUGUCAACAUAUUACAUAUUGGAAAACCAAACAAGAAAUUGCAAUUCCCACAAAUCCCUGCAAAAUUUUGAAUUCCCAAUAUCUCGAGUAAUUCGCAAAUCCAAUUUCCUAACCCGACCAAGCCAUAACAUUGGUGGUUAACUGGCGGUUAUAAUCAUUACAUUUUCAACCAUCUUCAUUUCACCGCUCUGCCGGACCGUGCUCGAACUGCAGUCUGCAAUCAAAGAACGGCGAAUUGAAAACGACAGAGAUUCGAUUGAAAAAGUUUGGGAUGUAUACCUUUACGUCAUAGUUGUCUGGAGGGUGCCAUUGAGUGACGGGAAUCUGUUUUAGAACAAGACAAAAUGAAGCAGCCACGAAGCAGAGCAUAUACAGCCCCAAAUUCAGAGGUGGUAACACUUGAGAUUUAAACGUUCAGUUAAGGCGGCCAACAGAGAUGAGGCAAAAGGGGAUAAGAAGCGAUACACUGUAGCAGUCAACGGCUGCGAAAGAAAGGCAAUACUGCACCUGCACUGCAAUUGCCCAGCCUCUAUGGAUUUUGUAAUAUUGUAUUCUAUUAUACUAAGUAGAGUUGUAGCUAGAGCAACAUCUUCUGGUCUCUGUUUCUGCUAUUCUUACCUUGGAAAAAUAUUUGACAUUUUUCACAGCUUAGUCGCUUACGCGCCAUCUUCCCGCUUGUCUUAUCCAUUAGCUAAAAAUAGUUGUUAUGAGAUAGAAGUAAGUUAUCUCAUCAUUCACACACGAAUAGGUUCGGUAAUGAGACGGAUUUUGAGUGGGUGUAUCUAUAGUCUAUAUCGAUUUUUAUAUUCAUUUGUAAAAUUAUCGUUCAUAUCCCUAUUUGAAUAUCAAUAUUCAUAUUUGUUUUUAAAUUUAUAAAUUUCAAAUAUUUAUGGGUAUCUCAUCCCAUACAACUUAAUUAAAAUUUUAAAAAAUAAGACUAUCACAUAAUCUAAAGACAUAAAUCAUCAUUUUACAUUGAAACAUAACAGAAUAAUCUCACAAAUAAUUUCACUGUCUCGAUUAAUAAUUUAGUAAUAUGUUUGGUAACUAAUAAAUAAAGAAUUAAAUAUAUUUUUACAUAUUUGGUAAGGUACGAGUAUGGGACGGGGUACCUAUAAACUCAUCCCAACUUAAAUAUAACCAAAUUUUUUACCCAAAUUCAGUUUUAUUUAUACAUAUAAUCUAUUUUUUCAUACUACUUAUAAAAAUGGCUGAAACUUAAUUAAACGAGAGAUAUAAUUCAUUUGGGGAAAAUAGAUGCGUGGAAAAAAUAAUAUUUGUGUAUAAAUAAUGAGACGAGUGCUUAGUCCUAUCGAAUCGGUUUUUGAGGCAAUUGAUUUUGAAUGGUUUUGAGGAAAGUUAAAAUACGAAGUUAGUUAACCAAUGAAGUUAAUUACUUUUCUCUCAUUGUAAUCAGUUUGUAGGUUAUACCUCACAGAUUACCCAUCAUAAAGUUAUACAAUUUGAGCUUCCUCUGAGUAAUAAAAAGCACCAUAUGCUAUUUGCAGUAAAAAAUAAUAAUGAGACGAAUGAGAAGGAACUUUACUCUAUCUAUUAUACAGACGUUCGGGGUUUGGACUCGGCCAGAAGCAGGCAAAGGAAUAGUAGGAACUAGGAACGAGAGAGAGAGUUGUUGUUGCGCAGUAAAAAACAACAGUCCUAAGGGGCAGCAUUUUUGCUGGUUGACUGGGUACUUGGUCGUCUCUUCUUGUCAUUUUCUUUCUGUACAAAAGCAUCUUCCUAUUUCUUUCUUGGACCAAUUGAGAGGUUCAAACUUUUAUCAGAUAGACUCUCAGAGAAACUUUCCCAAGUUGCUCCUCUUGCUUCAAACAAAAUCCAAAUUCCCCUGUCCUGUCUUCCCGAACCUAGCAGAUUCUUUCCAUCCCAGUGUUCUUUUCCCACACACUGGUUGACUGGUAGUUAAAAAGUUCGUAGCUGUGGAUCGAGAUUCCGCUACCUUCAUUUUGUUUCUUCUUGUUGUUGUGGGUUUAGCUCCAGAGGGAAGCAUCUGGAGGUUUUUCUGUACCGGUUAUGUACCUCGCAGACAAAGUUUCUUCCUUUUCCCUCUUUACUUUGCUCCUCUACGGAAAGGAAGCUGCUUUUCUCUAACUUUUUCCCCAGUGGAGCUUCGUUUGAUUUUUAUAAUUCCAUUGGUGUUUCGGAGCGGAGUUGGGUUGUGACUUGUGACGUACAUAUCAUAAGGCAAGCCUCCUCCUUGAUUCUUUUCGUCAUGAUAAAAACGGUUUUGACUUCUCUAAUCAUAAAGAUUGAAGUUUGACCAGUUGCUCGUUUUGAUUCACAGGUCGUUUGUUACUUCAAUUUCAAUGGGAUCUGAUGCCGCGGAGGAAGUGGAGAUUCCUCUUCAUUUGUAUUCUUUCAAGGUAGUGAUAUUUUCAGCAAAAAUCUUUCAACUUUUGACUGGAUGGUUAAUUUGAGGUGUUGCUAGAUAUUAUCUAGUGCUGGUAGAUUUGACCUUUCCAGUUCUAGAUAUGAUAGUAUAUUGAAAGUAACAGAAUCCGAUCCUUAUUUAUAGGUGUAUCAUUCGAUGUGUGGUCAGCUGAUGAAGUUGGUUGAAAGGAUUAAACAAAUGUUUCCUCGGAUAGAAGAGUCUCGUCCUCGAUGCUCAUCUGGGAUAGACGCACUGGUCUCAUUAAGCAAUGCCCUUGAGCGUGCUAAGCAACUUCUUCAGUAUUGCUCGGAGUCAAGCAAACUUUACUUGGUACAUAGACAGCUUCUACUUUUGUCACAGUUUUUCUAUUUCCCAUGUGUUGCCACCAAUCCAUGAACAGUACUGAUAUGAUACCAAACCUUAACUUAUUAGGGAAGCUACCAUCCAUUAUUGCUGAUGAAUUACUUGGCAUUCAUUGAUGGGGUAUUUUAAUCUGGCUUCAGGUAAUCACUGGAGAAGCAACAGUUGCAAGAUUUUUAAGAUCAAGGAAGCUGAUGGUGCAAAGUUUGAGUCAGAUCCACACAAUGGUUCUUGGGAGCUUGGCUGCUGAGGUAUAACUGUGUUCUCUUUGCCUAGAAAUGUCGUUUUGUUCUCCAUUGGCUCUAAAGUGUUACCAAGUGGUGCUGUUAAAGUUACAGAGUUCAGUAGCAGCAUAUACUUUGCAACAUGCCAAUUUACUAAUUUAGGUCAUGUGGGAAUUUGAUGUUUAUUUUUUUAUUGCUAAUGUGCAGAUUUCGCCAAUUAUAGAUGAUCUCGAGGAUGCAAACUUUGUAAUGGAGACCUCCGAAGAGGAGGCUGGAAAGGUACUGCUUGAAUUGCUUCAUCAUGGAACUGAUUCAGCAGAAUCUCAAAUGAGAGCUUUUCAAGUUGCUCUCUCAAAGCUUCACAUUAUCUCCCAGAGGGACGUAGUAAUAGAGGGGAGAUCUAUCAAGAAGUUACUUGAUAAAGUUGGUAACAACAACCAAAACAAAACAAAGAUCUUGAAGAUCCUUUUCUAUCUCUUAAAGAAGUACAAAAACUCGAUCCCGGUGAACCAUAGAAGUUCUUCAAAUGAUGAUCAUGAUGCUUCAGCGAACGAUCAAUCAAGUGAAGCCAGGCCUAAUUUGUUAAGUCAUGCUGCACCACUGGAAGAGUUCAGGUGUCCUAUAUCGAGGAGAGUGAUGUAUGACCCUGUCAUCAUUGCUUCUGGACAAACUUAUGAAAGAAAGUGGAUACAGAAAUGGUUUAAUGAUGGUAACAGCACGUGUCCCAAGACAAAACUGAAGCUGGAGAACUAUUCAGUCGUUCCAAACACUGCUUUGAAAGACCUUAUAUCAAAGUGGUGUAUGGACUACGGGAUCAGCAUUGGUGAACCAGUGACAGAACCGUUGAAGUCGCUGGAUCUAUCAUCUGAUUCCAUUGCUAGCUUAGGCAGUGAUAUGAAUGAUCUCCAAUUUCAUCUGGACAUCAGCAGUGUAUCAUUAGGAUCUAUGGAAGCUAGUUACUGUUCCAAUGUCUCUAGCACUAAGGUUGUAGAAGGUUCAAGGUUGAAGGUGAUGGCUGGACACAAGACGUGCGAAUGUAAUGCAAACGUGUACGAGAAUGACAUGGAGUUACUAUCUCGACUCUCAGAGCUUCCUUGGGAGUCUCAAUGCACCGUUAUUUGUGACAUAAAUAGUCACUUGAAAUGUGAUUGCCAAGCUUGGGAUUCAGAGUCAUCAGGAAAGUUUAUUGAACCUCUGGUUCUACAUUUGAGAGAUGCACUUGACCAGUUUGAUCUAGGAGCCCAGAAGGCUGGAUCUAGAUUGUUGCUUGCACUACUGAAUAAGACUGGGUAAGUAACAUUUUUUGGUAAAUGAAUUAUUUGGUUUUUCGCUCGUCAAUUUAAUUUCUAACGUUUCCCUUUGGUUCGUGCAGAAGUGACGUAUCAUGCUUAAAUGAAGAUGCCUACAGUUUGCUGGCAUCAUUCUUGGAGUCUGAAACACUCGAUUCUUCUAUUGCGAUUUUGGAUGCCUUGUCCGCCAAGCCAAACUGCAGAUCCAGAAUCGCAGCAUCCGAGGCGCCAGUUUCUCUCUUAAAGAUUUUGGACCGGGUAGAGAGCAAGGAAAUGCAGGAACGUGUCGUCAGGAUCUUUUACAACUUGUCAUCAAGCAGUGAUGUCUGCCCCAAGUUGGCAUCUCUGGGAUGCAUUCCAAAGCUGGUUCCUUUCAUUAACGACAGCAAUGUUACGAGAUACUGCAUCGUUCUACUGAAGAAUCUGUGUGACACGGUGGGUCAGGCUCGGGUUAGCAUUGCUGAGACCAAUGGCUGCAUCUCUUCGAUCGCUCAACUGCUGGAGAAUGGCAGUGCCGAGGAGCAAGAGCAUGCAGUAACUGUCUUGGUUUCUCUAUGUGCUCAGCGAGAUCAGUACUGCCUUUUGCUGAUGGAUGAAGGUGUUAUUCCUUCCCUCUGUAGCAUCUCGGUGAACGGGAAUGAGAAAGCGAAAGCAAGUGCGUUGGAACUGCUCCGACAGUUGAGAAAUGUCGAGUAUGAAUCCGAGCCGGAAAGAAGUCCUCCUCCUCGUCCUCUUCCUCCUCGACUUAGCGUCGUCUGUGAUGAGGAUGUUGUUGUUCCUCAAGAUAAAGUAAAGAAGUCUGGAUUUCUGAAGAAUAUAGCAGGCUCUCUUGCUUCCAGAAGGAAGAGAUAAUGGUUGAUUUAUAGGUUUAGGUGUUCUCUAAUAUUGCUUAUCUGCCAUAUUGGAAGAAGGUAGGAUUAACUUGUUGCUGUGUUUUUAUCAGACUCCUGCUGGAGCUGGUUAUUGUUGUUAAAUUGGUUAGGUAAACUCAUAUUAGCGUCAUUUGGUAGGUGGAUUUGUUUUUUGAAGCAUAUAAUUCUGUGUGAUUCAUAUAUACUGCAAAAACUGCAGCUGUAUAAUUUUUGUAAGAAAUGUGCAUAUAAAUAUAAUGAUGAUAAUAUAUAUUCUUUUGUUUGGCUUGUACUCCAUUGACCAUUCUUUUGUUUUCUCCUUGAUAAAAAGAAGACGAAAGGGUUUGUUGGAGACAUUUAUCUUUAUGAAUAUAUAUAGCAUCACCUUUUAUCAAAAAAAAAAAAAAAGAAGACGAAAGGGUCAUGAAAGUUCGCUUUUCUCCCUUUUGAACAUGAAUGGUCCUCAGGAAGUUGAAGACCCUGGACAAAACCCAGUCUAGGUUGCUGUUUCUUCAGUCAGAUCCUGAAGAAUCAACGGUUCAGGACUCUGGACAAGUCUAAGUGAGUGGUAGGAUAUUUUAUUAAUUGGAUUUUUAUGACGUGGUUAGUAAAAAUUGGAAUGCAUUGGCUUUGGAAUAUACACGUCUUGUGGUAUCUCAUACACAACCGCCAUAACAUGCUAUUUUUCCAUUGCGCCGUCUAUUUAACGGCAAAAAAGGCUUUCCACUAUCUUAUUCCGGAUUUUUUUUAGAUUUACAAUAUUGUUUUCUUAGCUAAUAACUUUGUAACUUUUGUGUAUCAAUGAUACUUUAAACAAAGAAAAACCAUUGUUUUCUUUUUAGGAGAUAAGUAAUACAAUGAUGUUAGUACAAGAUAAGAAAAAUAAGUAUGAUAUUAGUAUUUAUAUAUGGUGUACGAUUUAGUUUAAAUUUAAUAUCUCUGAAUUAUCGUUAUAUGGAUCAUUAGCAUAGUUCAUCAUCGGCAUCUGGUGUCGCUGGUUGGGUACUCUGUUACUAAUCAGCAGAGACUUUUGGUGUAUCAGUUUCUUCCCAAUGACACCCUCGAACAUCAUCUCCAUGGGUAGUAAAUAACAGCACUGGAGGUGAAUUCAGUCUCUGUUAUUAAGAAAUUGGAGUCUGUGGCUUAUUGGGUAUAAUCAAUCCUCUCUCUCUCCCUUCUUAUUUGGAUUCAUUUCUAAAUGGUAAAAUUGUUAAUGGAACUGUACUCACUUUGAUCACACUUUGUUCUUGAUUGAAUGGAUUGGUUUGAGGUCUUCACUUUUCAAAAGUUGUGAUUUUUUAUUAUCCUCUGUUAUUUUAUGGUUGUGAACUCAACUGUUUUAUUUGUGUUUUGAUGAUGAUAUCCAGACUUUGGACGACUGGAAUCAUGAGCAACUCUUUUGAGUCAUUGUCAUCCUCACCAUUGAUGAAGAGCUUUCCAACUGUGGUGCCAAUUGCUCCAUUAAAACAGCUACCUGAUAAUCCGGAUCCUGCCCCGAAAACAAACUUGUGCAGUCAGUGCAGUCAAAACUAUGAGCAAGAGCUGACAAAGGAUGUGCCCAAGAAUCUUGAGAAACCUUCCACGGACGACGUUGAAGCUAUACUAAUCAGCAGUCUUUGCCUCCUUGGCUGAAGAAUGCCACUACGAAUGAUCAGUCUGCGUUAUGUCCUGUUCUAAUUACCACAGACUAUUUCCUAACACUAGACUGGAAAACUGAACUGUUUGUUUUUGUUCUGUUUUGAAUCUUUAGAUCACUAAGGAUCAAGAAUUGAUAUAGAAGCAGAAGACUAUGGCACUGCAAAGGAGCAACACCAUAGUGAAUACAUUUCAGCUUUGUGUAGAUAUAUAAUUUGUAAUUUGUACAACAUAGAGUAAAAGAGUAGAGAGGAAAAUAGUUGUAAACUUCAAAUCCAAGUUUGAUGGCUUUAUCUAUAAACAAAAGGUAAAUAUGUAAUUGACUAAUCCUGCUCAGUAUAAAACUAUUUUUUUAUCAAAUUCAAUAUCAAUAUCAAUAUCUUCCAAUAUUAUGAUAUUUCAAAUAUAAUAAUAUUUGAGAUAUCGCAUAUCAAACGAUUGAAUAUAAUGAUAUUCGAAAUAUUACGUACUAAAUCAAAUCAGUCCUGAUAUCUAUAAAGUUGAAAUUCUGAUUACCCACUUUGAUUUCUUACGUGGGCCUAAAAGCCCACAGAGUCGAAUUCCAAUAUUCAAGUUCUUUCACUUCUUUCUCGAGAAAUUUCAAAACUCCCUCUGCGAGCUUCGUUCGUUCCGCUCUGGAAAUCGAGCUCGGUAAUGGAAGAGGGGUCUCGUUCGAUUUGAGAGGAACUAGGGUUUCUGACUAAUCCCAAUCGUUCAUGGCGACGGAGUCAUCGGAGGGGGAAGAGGAAGGGAAAAUCACCGGAGGUAGUCAGCAUCUGCUAGUGGACGAUGACCUCAGAGAACUGGGUAAAAAGGCUGCUUGGAGCGUCAGCUCUUGUAAAACCGGCAAUGGCGUCUCUUCUCUCCGCGACGACAAUCUCGACACCUACUGGCAGUAAGUGUUCAAUUCGCGGCUCGCUUGUUGGAUUCAAGCACUUCGAUUACUUUGCCUGGAGUUUCAUUUCUUCGAUUCCUUUCUCCCCUCCUCAGAUCGGAUGGUGCUCAGCCACAUUUGGUGAACAUUCAAUUCCAGAAGAAAGUAAAGCUUCAAGUGAGUGUGAAACUGUAAACCUUUCUUUUAUGCUUUUUUUUUCCUGCUUUCCUCACUCACUCGGUUGUUUGGUUUUGAAGUUGGUUUCAGUUUAUGUUGAUUUCAAGCUUGAUGAGAGCUAUACUCCCAGCAAGAUCUCCAUUCGUGCUGGUGAUGGAUUCCAUAACCUGAAGGUAACUUUUCUUCAAGCUUUAGCGUCUUAGGGCCCCUUGUUUCUUCUAUAGAGCAUUCAUCAAUUGCUGUUGAACUGGUCUCUUCUGCCAAAUGAAAUUUCAGGACAUCAAAACUGUGGAAUUUGUCAAGCCUACUGGUUGGGUUUGCAUUUCCCUAUCUGGAAAUGAUCCUAGGUAAUCGCAAAAGAUUGUUAUUUCUUCUUAGUCAACAUAUACUGUUAUUGAACGCUAUAUGAAAAUGGUGACGGUAGCUUGUUAAUCUAACUCUAGCCAGCAUUUGUUUGGUGUAUAAUCCACCAAUGUUGUUAACAGGGAAACCUUCGUGAACACGUUUAUGUUACAAAUUGCGGUGCUCUCAAAUCACCUGAAUGGAAGAGAUACUCAUAUCCGCCAGAUUAAAGUCUAUGGACCUCGGCCGUGAGUCAUCAUCAUCUUUCUCUUAUGAGGCUGUCUUCUCUGCUAAUUUAUUUUCUGAGAAGAGAAUCAUCGUCCUCAGCUGACUGUAUAACAUGUUUAUAUGUUGUGUUGCAGGAACCCUAUUCCGCAUCAACCAUUUCAGUUCACUUCUACAGAGUUCAUCACUUACUCUACUGUCAGAUGACAUAUUAAUAACCAAUUUAUGUAACUAGCAUACGGGAUAGGAGAAAUUGUAUGAGCUUGAAAAAGAGCUCAGAAAUGAAGCUUGAAUCAUUUGAGCUUGAAAUGUGGUGGAGUAAAGUGCUCCUAUGAGUUCUGAACCGUGAAUUUCUUGUAUUUCAUUCACUUGCUCCCUUUGAUUUCUGAACCGUGUUAUUUCUCAUUAAGUUUGAAUUACAAUGAGAUUGAGUGAUUUGAACUUUGUAACUGUGGUUGUGUAAAUUGCCGGUAUCAUACGAAACAAAGGAAAAUGUGUGAAUGAUGAAAGGUAAGCAAGGUUGAUAAGUUUCUCAAGAUGAUAUAUAUUAUUACUUUGAUUAUUACAGAUGAAAGCUCACUCACUACUCAAAGUAGUUUAAUACUUCAAUCCAUCUCAACCUCCCUCUCCGACUUGGUACAGAUGUUUGAAGAAAAUGGCAACUGCAGAACCUACAAGGUAACCAACUAAGACCCAAAAAUGGUUGAAACCCUUAUGUAACAUGACCAAGGUUCCAAACAACAUAGCUACCGCUCCGAAAAUCAGGUUCUUUCACGUGUCGUUUAAGACCCGGUUACAAUUCAAGCUCCAAGUGUAGUUGUUAAAACAAUUCUCGGCACUGCACAAUUAGAGACAUUGAUACAGAGAACCUUCUGUCAACUUUAGGGGUAUCUGAAACAUUGACCAUAUUAAGACUACAAUACGAGGAACUGGCACCUACCAAAGGUUCAGGCGUGUGAUGUCAUUCACAGGCUGGUUUGGUAUCAAAGCUGCUCAGGCAAAGAGCAAACGCUUGAAAUGCAGACAGCGGGUAGCUGUAAUCCAUGGUGAACAUGUCUUUCCCAAUUUUCCCAAAUUGUAGGAGCACCCUAUCUUGUUCUUCAGCCGACACACAGUGGUGGGGUUCGAAUGUAGCAGAGAGUUGGAAGUUCUUAACGGAAGCAACGGUAACACGCCCCUUGAAAUUUAAGCACCAACAUUGGAGCUGCUCGUGCCAUCUAGGAGACCGAUUUUUCAGAACUAGGGGCUCCCCCGAGCCAGGGAUUACCAUCGGUGACUCUGACGGGCUAGUGGAACUUACGUCUGAGGCCGGUCUCCUUCCUUUAGGAGCCGGUGAAGGAGAAAACUGCUCGCCGGUUACCUCUGGCAAUGAUGUCAUUGUUGGGACGCUCCCUCCUUCUUCCAUAGAGGAGACUGGAAUAGAAUUAAGGACACAAUGCAUUCUCCUUGGCCCUCUCGUGCGGAGCACAUUCAGCUCGUAAUUGAUCGUGCCUAUGUUGUAGUUUAAUGCAGAAGUCCUCGACUGUCUGGAAUGGACUCUACGACUUGCCCCACUGGUCAAAUGUGUUGGAAGCUCAUGUGAAGAUAACCUAUCUGAUAUGGUGAACUUGGUUCCCAUAAAGUUAGACCUAAAUGAAAAAAGGCAAUACCGUAAGUAGAAUGCGAAAAUGCUCGAGCUUUGACAGCGAAACCACCAAACUGUAAGUCCUAAACUUACCUGAGUCUACCAACGUAGUUGUUGCUGGAUCGGGAAAAAUCAUUUCCAACCAAAGAUAUUAUGAAAUCCGUGCAAGUUGUCCUUCUGAUUCUUUUUGCAGCUAAAAGCAAUUUGUCAUUCUGCCCCGCAGCUGCAAAACCAAAUAAACCAUAUUACCUAAAGGCUUUUCUAGUCACUUGGAUAUGCAAAAGAUGCAACCUUUGAUGUGCUAAAUGAAUCAAUCAUACAUUAACCUUAUAGAGAAGGUACCAUUGGGAGCACAUAUUACAUCGAUAGAUCGGAGAACAUUCAGAUCUAACUGAAAGCAACAGUUAAAGAUAAUGUCGCGACUUACAAGGCAUCAAUCCAGCAUACAACCGGAAAGUGGAAGUAGCAGGAUCUCUUCUUAUGUAGCAGUGUAUUGGAGACUCGCGAGGACCGGGCUAUUAAAAACAAACCAACAAGCACAAAUUACCAAAUGAACCAGUGACAACAAUCAAAUCAAUCUGAAACAAGUAGUGCAUUCAACAAGAAGAUCAAGUACCUGCUUCAAUGAUAUAGGGAAUGUGAACCUCCCACACUGUUCAGGAGUUUGCACAAUCUCCCUGGUUACUUCUCUCCAGGACUUACAAACGGAAGCGCAAUGAACGACCGCAGCACGACCAGGCCAUGAGGUCUCAGUCUCUUCCACCCUGCUGAUGAUGUCGAAAAGCAGCUCUGUGGGCAAAUCCGCCCACUGGCCUUGCUGAGAAGAUCGUGCAGCCUCAGCCAUUGACGUUUCAUCAGGUGCUAUAUGUGACCUUGCCCGGCUGCCCCGCCACCGCUUACCUCCUUCGACCCCUCGGGUAGACCUACUCCCAACCCCAUCUUUCAUCUCCUUCAGCUCACGGAAAAUGCUUUUGAAAGACAUCUUUAACUUGCACAUUUAGAAAACGGAGAUAUCAAUCAGCAAAUAGGCAAAUACAAAUCCAAAACGUAAGAAAUGGGAAUUGCAGCAGGACCCCAAAACAAAUCGGCCUUCAAACAAAUGGAAGGAAAUAAAAAAAAAAAAAAAGACGACCCAGAGCUGUACAUUGAUAAACUCGAUAUUCUAAUCACGCCAGGACAAACUCCGCCGAGAGCGAGAGCUUCAAAUUCCAGCCAGGGAGAAACGCCAAGAGCUAGAAUAAUCGUUAUCGAAAGUCUGAAAAAUUUCGCAUUCGUUCGUGUGGAAACAAUCUAUCAUAAAAACAAUUUAAAAAUUGAUUGAAAAAGAGGCCGGAAACAAUGGGUCUCCUGGAAAUGAUAUCACAAUAUUUUAAAAAAAUGGAAAAGAGAGCAGAUCCGGUGAACGAUUUCAAAUCAUGAAAAAACCAACCUGAAAAUGAUGAAUCUGCUCUCGGAUCAGAAUCCGGUUGUUUGCAGAGAACCGCAGAACAGGAGAUGUAGAAGAAAUAGAGAGCGAGAAAUGUGAUUAUGAAUAUAGAAGGAGGAUGAAAUCGGGAAGAGGGGGGUAGAUAUUAAAUUAGAGGGGGUAGAACGGAGGAGGAGGAGGGAGGGCACCAAAGCAGUAAAGCUCCACCGCUGUCUGAGCUACCGAGUGAGCUCUGCUCUGCCUGCCCUGACUUGGAGCCAACACCAGUAGAUGAAGAGGAAGUUAGAGUGGAGAGGAGGAGGAGGGAGUGUUUGAACCAGAAAAGAGAUAGAGAAAGCUUUUCUCCGGAAAUGGCUGCCAUAAGACGGAUCGCCCAUUCAUUUCCCUUCUCUUUCUCUCCUCCGCUUCUCCAUUUUUCUGUUUUUGUUUUUGUUUUUUUGGGUAUUUUCCUUUCGCCGCUAGUUUCGAGCUGUCUAUUUUGCCCAGUCCACCAAUUUCUUUUAAAAAUAGACGAUUAAAUGUACUGACGUUACCUUGUCAAAAAGAAAAUGUAAUGACGUUAUUGUUUGUUGUUAAUUACAUGAAAUAAAGUUUUUAAAUUUAUUGUUACUCUUACCAUAUGUUUAAUACAUAUAUGCUACUACAUUCAUAACAUUAAAAAAGUCUUAGAAAGUUAACAUGUGAGGGAAAAUGGUUUAAUGUAGUAAUGUGACUCGGGCCUGAACUAAUUAAAAAAAAGGUGUAUUUAAAUACAAAAAAUUGUCAAUCUGACAGACGUCUUUCUGCCACACCGUCCCACACGUGGCCUGCAUCUUUGAAUUGACUACAUUCACUCUGCGUUCUUAAUUGCCAUAAAAUAUAUAAACGAAUCUCCAAAUAAGAAAAAAAACACGAUUUUUGACAAAGCGGCCCAAUAAAACGAUAACUGGAUACAUAAACUGCCAUAUUAGGCCCAUAGUUCUGUCAAGAGUCGAAGAGGCCCAGCGAAGCAGAAGAAUAUGCAAAUGUUACGGGCACUGCCAAAACGACCGAGAAUCCAACAUAAGGCGCAGCUUGAACUUGUUCACCACCAAGCUCCCUCCGCCAUUAUCGUUGACAGAUGGCGAUCGUUUCCGUCCCCUCUUCUUUGCCUCAUCUCAAUCUCCGUCGAGCCACCCGGUGAGUUCUCUCUUCAGUUUUCUUUUGAUUCUCCUCUCCUCCUCAUUCUAUUCGUUUGAAUCUCCCUCCUGCCAUUACCCGCCUACUACAGUGCUCCUUCUACUUUCCAGCAUUAAUCUUUCAUUUAAUCGACGAAUUACAGAGCCUCUGGUGUUGCUUCCACACGGACAAACAGAAUUAUGGCGUCGGCGUCGGGAGUGAAGCUCACAGAAGGUGAAGGUAACUUGCCCAAAGUCGUGCUCACUUCUCCUCAUGGUAGGUAAGUGUAAUCGGCGUUGAAUAUUUGACUUUUCAUUUCCCCCCUUUUUGUUUUUUUCCCGUUGAGGAUGAAAUCUAAUGAUGUAUGGUAGUGAGGCGGAGAUUUAUCUAUACGGAGGCUGCUUGACAUCUUGGAAAGUUUCCGGCGGCAAAGAUCUUCUUUUCGUUAGGCCGGAUGCUGUGUUCAACAAGAAGAAGCCAAUCAGGUUUUUGGGAGUUCGAUUCAAUCGAUUCUCAUUUUGGUCUGUUUUGAUUUCCAGUUCGAUCAUAGUAGCCAUUUUAAUUGUUUGCAGUGGAGGCCUUCCACAUUGUUUCCCACAGUUUGGACCAGGCGCGAUUCAGCAGGUAUAGUAUACCCAUUUCCUGCUGUAAAGAAGUACGAUUACUCUACAUGUAUAUUUUUACCCAACUGAUUUAGUUUUUAAUGUUCUUAAUAGCAUGGAUUUGGGAGGAAUAUGGAUUGGUCAGUUGUUGAUUCUGAGAACGUGGAGGGUGAUGCUUUUGUAACACUUGAGCUCAAGGAUGAACCUUACAGUCGAGCUAUGUGGGAUUUUGGUUUCCAAGCACUAUACAAGGUAAGAAGGAAGCAUUCAAGGAUUAGUAACUCAAUCUAGAAAUCUAUAUCAAUCUUCACUGUAUGUGUUCAUCAAUUGUCCUCAGGUCAUUCUAAAUGCAAAGAGCAUUUCCACGGAACUAAAGAUUACAAAUACAGACAGAAAGCCGUUUUCAUUUACCACAGCUUUGCAUACAUAUUUCAGUGUGAGAGAUUCCCCCAUACGAUCUCAGUUGGUUUAUUGGAGUAAUCUAGUGUAUGUGAAUAUGAUGAAGAAGGAACUCCUCCAUUGGUGCAGGCAUCUGUAACAGGAGCAUCAGUGAAAGGUCUGAAAGGUUGCAAGACUUUGAACAAAGAUCCAGAUCCUAACAAUCCAGUGGAGGGACAAGAGGACAGGUGCGAACUGCAUAGUGUGCUUGAGACUUCUUUGUCACAACUGAGUGCCACUUUUUCAAAGAAAUUGUUGGAUGUUAGCCUUCUAUCUAGUUCAGUUUUGGUGCUUACUAGCAGUAUCUCAACCUCUCAGGGAUGUGGUUACCUUCCCUGGAUUUGUAGACUGCGUUUAUCUAGGUGCACCAGCUGAGCUUUCCCUUGAUAAUGGCUUGGGCGAUGUGAUAAGCAUAAAAAAUACCAAGUACGUUGAUUCGUAACUUCCUCUGAAUCCAUUCGUUCUUUCUCUGUUAGAGUAUCCAAUGUAUUAUCCGUUCCAAAAACUAAAGUAGUCAUAUUGAAUAUUGAUCACCCACCGCCUUGCAGUUGGACGGAUGCUGUGCUAUGGAAUCCACACCUUCAGAUGGAAGCAUGUUACAAAGACUUCGUUUGUGUUGAAAAUGCCAAGGUAUUCAAGUUUGCACUUUUUUCUGAACAUUAAAUCCAUCGUUGUCUUAUUUACUUACUGGCUGUAUAUUCCGCGGGUUGUGCAGAUUGGGAAGGUUGAUCUACAGCCUAAUCAAUCCUGGGUAGCUACACAGCAGCUUACUCUCACCUGAAGUUGAAGUUUUGAACUGUAAAACCUUUUCAGCCGUCUGCUAUAAGAGAAAUUCAUUUACUCUGUACAAUUUCUUCUGAAUAAACUGUAAACGGAAUCAUCCACACUAGAUUCCCCUGUAAUCUUCUUACUCUAAUGAAUGCAGUAAUUGCAUUUUUUUCGCAAGAACAUUCUGCAUUUCUGAAACAGUGGAAUCGAGUUCUUGCUAUAAACCUGUGACUGAGUUCUAUAACAUCCCAUGAUGAUCUCUUCUUGUCCGGUCUCAAUUCAAAGUAUGAUUUUGUAAAAUGAAGGCACAUUUGUUUUACUAUGUUGCUUGUUGUUUAGCCUUCUCGGCAUCGAGUUGCCUCAAAGUUGAGGAACUCAGCUUCUCUCCACUGGAUCCGUCAGAAAUUAGAUCCACAACUUCAAUCUGCAACAAAUUCAAAAAACGAAUGAAACUAUCAUCCAGAAGUUGAAAUCAUCGAAGAAGGAGGAAAGGGGAAAAUAGAAAAAACCUUGAGCUGCGAAAGUCCUUUCUCAGCUCUCUUCCUGUUAACUGCCAGGCCGCCUGGUACAGUCUCUUUGCUGCUACAACAACAGGAUGAUGACAACGUUACAGUUUGUUAAAGCAGGCGCAACAGCUUAAUUACCUAACGACUAUAGCUUCCAAAUCUUGGAGGACAAUUGAAGGUCCAUAGGGAUCAAUGAUUGGUUCAGCUUGCACCAGGAGCUCUGGCUUGAUAGACUGCAUAAGAUAUGGCAAUGGAAGGAACAUUCGAAAGACCAAACAACAAGGCAACCAACUCAACAAAAAAAUUCAACUAGUACACAAACAUACCUUGAUGAAGAUUUCAACAUUCUGCAUCCUUUGAUCAACAGGCUGUAUCAGGUCUGCAAACUGAAACCAAAAUUCAAACCCAAAAUUCACAAUCAUUGGAAAUUCAAAUGUUGUUUUCUAUUAGGAAUCCGAACCUGUUUUUUGGCGAGCAUAGGGCCGUGGCAAACUCCAACAACAACCCUUUCCUUAGCCAGCUCGGCUGCUGCCUGAUAAAAUUUCCCAUACUUCACCCAGUUCAGAAAUAUACUCCAUGUGUUGCAAAGAACAACAGGAAGAGAGAAAUUAGGAAGAAAGGUUGGACCUUGAGGAAAAGGCGAUGGCCGUCGUGAAGCCGAUCAAACGUGCCGCCGAGCACCACGGAUCCGUACGUGUUUGGCGGGGAAAUCUUGUAGUUGAUCGCCGUUUCAUCCUCAGCUGCCAUUUGGCUGGCUUGCAAUCAGAGAAAAGUCUGUUUCUCUAUCACCAAAACAAGCAAUUAAAAUAAAAUUUCGAUGGUAGAUAAGCCCAACAUGAAUACUCAGGCCGAAGAAGCAAUUACAUUUGGUUUCGAAGCCCAACCAUGUCUUAAAUUUGGAAAGAACUUGAGGCCCAAGGCUAGCAGGUAAGCCCAACAUGGCUAAUCAUGUGUUGUGUUAUCGUCUAUAUAAAAGGAGGCGAAGAUUGCGUUUCGUAAAAACAUUCUACCUUAGAUUGAUUUGUCGACGUUUGUCCCUUCUCUUUUCAGAUUACGAGCUUCUUCCCCUGCGCAAUCUGGUAAUUCAUCCAUCCUUCUUUCUGGGUUUUUUAGCUUAUUUGUUUCUUCACUUUAGUUCAUCUUGAUGUAUCUAUCUUUUCUCCGGUUCUCCGGUUUGUGCCUUGAAAAGUCUUGAAAAUAAUACACCGCGAGUUCCAUUUAUUCCUAAGCAGAGGGAAGAAACCCUAAAUUGGAGUAUUGGUCGUUUUCAUCAGUGGUUCUUUGAAAUUGGGAUACUUUUUGGAGUGUUUGUUUCAUACCCAGCUCAAUCUAUCGUGUUGUUGGUUUGCCUUAUAUGUUGGAAUCAAUUAACUUGUUGGAUCCCCAAAUUUUAUUUUCAAUUGCAAUCAACCUGCAUCUUAUUUAGAGCUGUUUCUGAUAGCUUGUUUAUUUCUACGAUCUACUUUUUUCUGUCUUCUCUUUUGCUUUCAUAAGGUAUUGCAUGUUCGUCUUUCUAUAUUUCUAUUCGUAAGUUAGCAUGUUUUCAUUAACUUUUUUAUUUUGCAUAUACCUAAAUGUUUUCAUAUACAUUCUCAUGGGUCUCUCUCUACGCCUUCGAUUAGAUUACUAUUCUAUUCUCUGUGGUAAAUGUUCUGCGGUGACCCAAUUAUUUUUUUUGUUCCUUGUUUAUGUAUUGGGAUGGCUGAUGGGGUUCAUUAUGUGUGUGUUUCAUUAUGUGAGUAGAAGAACUUCAGCAUUGAAUAUUUUCUAAAAGCUUCAGGCAAAUCAAUGUCUGUCCUUAAUGCAGUGUGUUUAAUAUAUUUUCUUUACUGAUUGCGGUACUCUGGUAAGAGUUGCUUUCUUCCUUUUCUGAUGGUUGGUCUUGUAUUUGUUGAUCAUCGUCUGGUUGUCUGGUUUAUUGAUGUUUGUAUUGCUUGUUUCAGUUAUCUACAAUGGCAGACAGCGAGGACAAGAACAUUGAGAUUUGGAAGAUAAAGAAGCUUAUAAAGUCACUGGAAGCUGCUCGAGGCAAUGGAACGAGCAUGAUUUCCCUCGUCAUACCUCCUCGUGAUCAGAUAUCACGUAUUGCAAAGAUGCUCGGUGAUGAGUAUGGAACUGCUUCGAAUAUUAAGAGCAGGGUCAAUCGUCAGUCUGUACUUGGUGCUAUCACAUCUGCUCAGCAGAGGCUUAAGCUCUACAACAGGGUUCCUACAAAUGGCCUUGUGUUGUACACUGGGACUAUUUUGACUGAUGAUGGAAAGGAAAAGAAAGUGACUAUGGACUUUGAGCCUUUUAAACCAAUUAACUCAUCUCUCUACCUUUGCGACAACAAGUUCCAUACUGAAGCAUUGAAUGAACUGUUGGAGUCUGAUGACAAGUUUGGUUUCAUCGUCAUGGAUGGUAAUGGCACCUUGUUUGGAACACUAAGUGGGAACACCAGGGAAAUUCUGCAUAAGUUCUCGGUUGACUUGCCUAAGAAGCAUGGAAGAGGAGGACAGUCAGCGCUUCGUUUUGCUAGACUCCGAAUGGAGAAGCGCCACAAUUAUGUGAGGAAGACGGCUGAACUUGCUACGCAGUUUUACAUAGACCCAUCCACCAGCCAGCCAAAUGUAUCUGGCCUAAUUCUUGCUGGAUCUGCUGACUUUAAGACUGAGCUAGGUCAGUCUGAUAUGUUUGAUGCUAGACUUGGAGCAAAGAUUCUGAAUGUUGUGGAUGUGUCCUAUGGCGGAGAAAACGGAUUUAAUCAGGCAAUCGAGCUUUCUUCUGAGAUUUUGUCCAAUGUGAAGUUUAUCCAGGAGAAGAAGCUGAUAGGAAAGUACUUUGAAGAGAUCAGUCAAGAUACCGGAAAAUAUGUAUUUGGUGUCGAUGAUACAUUGACAACUUUGGAUAUGGGUGCAGUCGAGAUUCUCAUAGUGUGGGAGAAUCUAGAGAUCAACAGGUAUGAAUUGAAGAACAGUGCCAACGGUGAGAUUGUAGUCAAACAUUUUACCAAAGAGCAAGAGACCAAUGAAAGCAACUUUAGGGAUUCAUCCACUUCAGCUGAACUGGAGGUUCAAGACAAGAUGCCUCUGCUCGAGUGGUUUGCUAAUGAGUACAAGCGAUUUGGGUGCACUCUUGGGUUUUUAAAUAAAAAAACAAAGGACAAAUCACAGGAAGGGUCCCAAUUCUGCAGGGGGUUUGGUGGUAUUGGUGGCAUUCUGCGUUACCAAGUUGACAUGAGAUCGUUUGAUGAUGUUUCUGAUGAUGAGGGAGGAGUUUAUGAUUCGGAAUAGCAAUCAGCAAAAUCUACAACUUCACUGGUGCAGGAAAGCAGCAGCAGGGAUAAAGAUCCUGCACCAGCAGUUGAGCCAGCAGCAGGUCUGGCUACGGCUCGGGGUAUGAAGAAGGUCUCUGCUACUGAGAGCGUUGAAGAAGAAAUUCACUCUGGUGAAGGUAUUGUCAAUUUCUUCUCCACCCCCUGUUAUUACUGUCUAAACAUUUGUUUACUUACUGUAGUUUUGUUAAAACUUAAUAUCGUCUGCUUCUCUGUUACAGGCGGGGAUGGUGAUGGUAUACAAAGCUUCAACGAGAGAAUGAGCUGCGUUCUGGUGAUGCCUCAGCUGAUUGGUCCUGUGGCUGUCGAUGCAUUUAUGGUGCGGCAGACUGUGAUUAAGAAAAGUCCUCCGAUGGAAGAAGGGCCUCGUAUGAACUAACUUGUGCUGAUUUGAUAAUAUCCAAGUGGUGGUUAUUAGCAUUUCAUGUUUGUCAUAUUGAUGAUUUCAAUAAGUGCUGCUCCAUGUUGGACAUCGUUGGAGUUGCAGUCAGUCGACAAUUGUUAUGUUUUCUUUCGAAUGUGGUUUUGUUUUGCUGCGGAUUGAGAAUGGUUUGUUAAUCGGGAUUUUGCAUAUUUCAUACAAAUAGUAGUGAUUUCAUGUGUGAUAUUUUCUGAGUUUCGAACGGAUGAUUUUAAAUUUUUAUACCGGCUGGUUCAGCUGGCAUUGUUUAAAAUAGGCAAUCACCCACUAUUAGUGUAUGAAAAUAUACACUACAUAUAGUGUAUGUCACAACUAACCACCUAUUGACGAACAUGGCAUGCCGUCAAAUUUUUGUUAAUGUGAGAUGGAAUGGCACCGAAAACUCAAUUUGUGCCAUAUAACGUGGCAAGAUUCACACAUCAAACGGCACAAAACGUAGUAGAUAAUCAUCUAUUUGCUCAGUACAAACCCCCCACGCUGGAAAAUAUAUUUGAGGGAAAAUGGUAAGUCUAGAUAUAAUGGUCUAAGACGUAAUGCCAUAAGACAACUUGGUUAAAUAAUUAUUACUAUAGAUGUAAAGUCAAACGGUAAUUAUGCAGAUUUGCUACGACUAAUCAAAAUAGUUAUAACGAAGCGCACUUACUGGUCAAUUUGAGGUGAUUUCAGAACAACAUCAAACGACUUUUCUAGUACUCCUACCACCAAUGACUCGGUCUCGUCUGCUUAAACUGCAUUUUGCUUGCUUGCUUCUUGGCUCAUCGAGCUGUUUUUUUCCAAGAUUGCUGCAGCGAAGCCUGCAGCCCAGACCUGAAAACAUUUCCCAAGGAACAUGAACGAGUGGUCAAUGAAAACAAACGAAUCUCAAACGCCAAAACCAAAUAUGGCCUAAAAUUAUCAUCAGAAUCAUUCAUUCACUUUUUUUUUCCCACUUGCCUUGUGAUUGAACAGCCCAGCACCUCCUGAAUCAACAACGCAACCUCUGACUUUAUCUGUCACGCCUCCUGCUUUACCUAGCAGAAUUUCAAUAACGUAAGCAUACCUGCAAACCCACCAAUAAUCAAACAAACAUCCCAGAAAGGAAUUUGCUCAACACAACUCUCGACGACAUUUCAAUCAAACCCUACGCCCAAAGCCAGUGUUACUGAAAGUGUGAAACAGCAAACAUGGAUCUCUGUUCAAUUCACCGUCUUCGGUGACCCAAGAAGUGAUGUCGUUAGCCAAUGCAGUGAUCCGUCUGUCCAUUCUUUCCCCUGAAUCAGAACCUAGCAGUUCUCCUACUUCAACGACGAACGUAAUCGCGUGAAUCCCUUGUGAAUUGUACCAUUCCACGUACCUCCUGAGGUGCUUCUGCUUCCCAUCCAGCCAUCCCAGCAAAACCACAGUCUUUUCAGCAUAUUUCCGUCCGAAAACACCACUCCCGCCGCCAGUUUCAGGAGCUGGAUGCCAGGCGAAAAACCCGCCAGUUUCAGGAGCAGGAUUUCCCAUUGGUUUGGAGAGAUGAGAAAACAAAUGCGAGUGGAAAAAAACUAAGAGCAUGGAACUUGGAGGGUUGGUUCGGGGGAAAGAGCGGUAAUUGUUAACAGUGAUCCUAGAUGAUUGUUUGAGAAAAUGCCGAUUCAAAACUCUGCCUACUGCUAGGAAAGCUUUCAUGGAUUUUGCAGAGUUUCAAACGAGUACAAAUCCUUGAUUCGUUGCGUUGGUAGUGAGAGCGAAGAACGUAUAUGUAACGAAUCAUUGACGAAAACGGACCAAUGCAUUUAAAGAAGGGGUUGUCAAGCUGCGGUUACAUACUGUUUUCUCUUUGGUGGGGGAUUUUUCUUUGCCGGUAAAUAAAGUAUAAAUUUUGAAAUAUGGUUUGUCAAUUUAAAACGAGGGAAUCCCAGAACAAAAAAAAAGAGAAAAAAAAAAGAUCUGAGGUGGUGGACGGGUGGCAACUGGCUUUGAAUGAGCCACAACUCCAAAUCCCAGCCACAACUCCGCCUUCUUCAACAAGAAUUUAUCUCUUACUAUUUUGGUCCAACGUCUUUAGAAGGGGCGGACCAUUUUGCAUGGUUGGUAGUUCGAUGUCUUCUUCAUGUGCAGCUGUAUCGUCGUCCGUAAGGUCAGAGCUAUUCAACUCCAGAGCUACCCGAUUAGUCGCGCCAGCGAGGCUGAACCCUAGCAGUAACUUUAUUUCUCCCUCUUAUCUUCUUGGGGCUGUUGAAUUUCUAGUCAAAGUUUGUAACUUUCUGCUUUUCCUGCCAUUUUUCUUAUCUACCUCAAGGAAGUAGAUGUGAAAUUAAUAGGAGAGGGUUCGCAAUCAAGGGAAUUGUGGCUUCAAGCGUUUCAGCUGCUAUGGCUACUGAGUCAAAGGAUCAAGGUAUGNNNNNNNNNNNNNNNNNNNNNNNNNNNNNNNNNNNNNNNNNNNNNNNNNNNNNNNNNNNNNNNNNNNNNNNNNNNNNNNNNNNNNNNNNNNNNNNNNNNNNGGGGUGGGUGUUGUUGUUUCAUGUUCUGCUUUCCAUGUUAAAGGCAUGCUGAGAACAUGGUCUUUUUUGUUUCGUUAAUUGUUGGUAGGAGUUGAGAGAUUGCCCUUCAAGCCAGAAGGCUACAACUUUUGGACAUGGAAAGGUCACAGGAUACAUUAUGUUGUUGAAGGGGAAGGUCCUCCUAUUGUUCUAGUUCAUGGCUUUGGUGCUUCUGCUUUCCACUGGAGGUACUGUUACUCUGCUGUAAUUACACCGUUUACCUGAACCCACCAUUUUGGUUACUUGAAAUCAAAACUGCAGAGUGGAAAAAGCAACAGGAAAAGGUUGAAUCCCCUCUUUCCAUUUCACUUGGAAAAGCUGUGUAGUAAGUUUUGUGUUUGGAAUGAGAGCGAUUGCAUGUGGUGUUUUGGUUGAUAAAAUCAAUUAGUUAUAAGUUAUGUAAGUGUUGCUCCUUUAAUGUAUGUCACGAUUGAAAGACUGUUUAUAGAAUCCACAGUUGUUGUAGGGUCUCUUAAUAUUUCACUAAGUUUUAGUACUUGCUCCUGUUUGCAGAUACAAUAUACCUGAGUUGGCGAAGAAGUACAAGGUUUACGCCAUAGACUUGCUAGGUUUCGGAUGGAGUGAGAAAGCACUAGUUGACUACGAUGCCAUGAUAUGGAAGGAUCAAUUAGUGGAUUUCAUGAAGCAGAUAGUGAAAGAGCCAGCAGUUUUAGUGGGAAACAGGUACUCUCUUGUUACAGUAGGUUCUCCAGUCUCCACUAUAGAGUUUGGCGAAAAGAUGUCGAUUCAAAUCAAGGUUUACUUUGGUAUAAGUGUUGGUUCCAAAGUUUACAUAUAAAUCUUUCCAGUUGAUUACUUGCUUUUGAUAUGAGCGUUGUGUGCAAUUUGAAAUUCCGUUGCAUAGGUAUUCUGUAAUGUAGCUCAUCCUUACCUUUUUCAGCCUUGGAGGAUUCACUGCUUUGAUUUCCGCAGUGGGGUUACCUGAACAAGUUAUUGGAGUUGUACUGCUUAAUUCAGCUGGCCAGUUUGGAAAUCCAAAUGCGGAAACCAAGGAGUCUGAAGAAUCUUCACUACAGAAGUAUCUUCUGAAACCAGUCAAGGAAGUGUUUCAACGCGUUGUACUAGGCUUUUUGUUCUGGCAAGCAAAGCAACCGGCUCGUGUGGAGUCUGUCUUAAAGAGUGUAAGUAUUGAUUGGUCUUAGUUUGAGUGGAAACUUGCACGUCUCCUUUGAUCAGAACAUGCACACGUGGAAAUGUUCGAUUUUUCAUUGACAAGUAAAGAUCGGAUCUUUUGGUCUGGCCAGGAGUAUUUGUUGCUGAAACAUAACUAUCAAGUGGAUCCUUUCGAAAUUCUUGAAUUUAGAACUGGCAUUCCAUAAUUGCAUAUGAUCCUUUGGUAUCAUUACUCUAAUUAUGUGAUAUGACCCUUAGCCGACUACGAAUUUCAGAAUUUCAUCAAGUAUGCUUUACAUCAACCUUUCAUGUAGUUAAAAUUCUUAUCUUCAAAUGCUUUUUGUAUUCUCCCUGCUUGUUCAUACUUCAAUCCUUCGUGUAGAUCUUUAACAGCCUCUACUGGUAUAUAUUUCUCAGGUUUAUGCAAACAAAUCCAAUGUGGAUGACUAUCUUGUUAAAUCAAUCAUCCAACCAGCAGCAGAUCCAAAUGCCGGCGAAGUAUAUUACAGGUUUGUCUUUACUACUGUCUCUAUGCCCUCUGCUGAAAUGGUCUACUCAACUCUCUCUAUCUGGAACUUGGCUAGCCGCCUUGUACUCUUAAAGUCUACUAUAUCCACGUUGUGAACAUUAUUGUCGCUUCCUUUGUUCUGGACUAGGUUUUCCUAAUUUGCCAACUGUCCUCAACAUAUACUAGUAGAGUCUUAGUAGUUAGUACAAGUGUAAUGUUGUUACUCCUUGGCUCGAUGUUUUUGUCUAGAAUCAGAUAAACGGUCCAUAAACGGUCAUUAUAUCUCUAACUGUCUCUGUCAUUACUCAUUAUCCAUCUUAGAAUCCGAAAAUUCUUUUUUUUUUCGUGCAGAUUAAUGUCGCGAUUCAUGGUAAACCAAACGACCUACACAUUGGACAGUGCGUUGAGUAAACUCAGAUGUCCGCUUCUGUUGAUAUGGGGGGACUUGGACCCAUGGGUUGGUCCUGCAAAGGCAAGAAGAAUCAAGGAGUUCUAUCCAAAUACAACAGUAGUGAACUUGCAGGCCGGUCAUUGCCCCCAUGACGAAGUUCCCGAGCUUGUUAAUAAAGCUUUAAUGGACUGGCUACCUUCUCUAAAACCAGAACCCUCUCUCCAGACAAUGUAAAAAUGACAUCUUUACUUCUUUUUAGUGCUAUAGUUUGUAUAUUGCAUCUCUGUAAAGAGUCAAGGGUAAUGAUAUCCAUACGCUAAUAUCACUUGGAGCAUAUCAAAUGGAGUGAACUAAGUAGAGCUAGUUCCAGGUGAGUUGUGAAGUCCUGUCGUGAAAGUAGAAGUUGAAAUCCAGUAGCCGACGAGGGUCCAUAUCUAUAGCUGGUUCCAGCUGGUAUUGGAGAGUUUUGUCAGCUAGUUCUGAGUUUGGUGCUUUCGGCAAUGGAAACUAUUAUUGCAACUUUACAUUACAGCAGAGAAAUCGACACAAAGUACAUUGCAAAAGUAAGUUGCCUAUACUUGUAUUAUAUAAUAGAUCGGGUUCUUGGCGUCGUGCAAGUGCUGGUUAUUGCGGACAUCGUAGGUCUUACAAAAUUUCGCUGUAGACUAUAUUGCGGGUACUUUCUCGGACAUUGUCUCCUUCUUUCUACAGCAUGAUGUGGAUACCCGAUGCUGAACGGACCCUUGAAAGAGCAACAUAUAGUUGGUUGUGGCUAAAACACUGGAUUAUGCAAAUAAGCGUUUGUCCUUGACUCUUGUUAAUAAGCGUUGCAAAGCACAGUAGAAGAGGAUGUUGCCUCCGCUUAAGGGUAAAGGGCCAAUUCGGGUUUGUAUAAUCACGAACAAUACAUGAAACAAUCAAUAGCCAUUGUUCCUUCAUACGAUCUCGUAUGACAUAGUCACCCUAGUUCAAAUUAGUCCACAAUGACAAAUCAGUAUACGAUCCACACACAAAAAAUAUUCUCUCAAGUUCAUCAGAUAAGAUGAUGAACUGAACAAACUGAAAAACCCAAAUGAAAGUUUUAACGUCUGCAUAACUCCAUUGAUUAGAAUCCUUAGAAAAAACCCUACGAAUUAAAGAAAGAAAGAAUCCUUCGACAAUAGCUAGAAACAAUCGAUUGGGCAGCCUUACUUUGGUUUGCCAUCCAACCAAUGACAUCUGUACGUCCAGAGUAUAAACUAUGGAGCAACAGAAAUUCCAAAAGAAUUAAAGGCCAAAUAUAUAUUGUUUUAGGGGGAAGCAGUUAACCUUCUCUUCUUUUUUUUUGUAUAAACAACAACGCUGAUGUGUCAAAACAACAAAAAAACAACAACGUUGGUGUUAUAAAGUCGACGAAAUUAUCAUGGUACAUUUUCACUAAAACAGAAAAUUGAAGAAGAUGACAAGAGCUCGGCGGAAGGAUUGAAGUGGUAGCGACUAGCGAGUUCCUUGGAAAAUAAGAAAAUAUGAAUCUUGCCAAACAGACCUCAGAAUAUCAGCUCGUUAGGAGCACACACUAUUACCACUCAACCAUUUCCAAUAUAUAGAUUUUGAAAUUUAGAAUUAUAUAUACUGCACAUUUAAUCCUUAACUCGUCAUAAGUCAUUUUCGUUAAUUCACUCAAAGUAAUGUGACUUUGAGUUUGUUACGUAAAAUAUUACAUAAGCUUUAUGUUACGACGUUUACUUUUUGCUUAAUUUUGUAUGUUAUGUAAGGUUUAAUUAUUUUUAUGUAAGCCUAGUUUAAGUCUUUACUCUUGCGUAGUAGGUUUAAUUUUGUCUGUUACGUAAGGAAUAACUGUUGUUACAUAAGUCUUAAGUUUACGAACUUUACUCUUAUGUAACAUGUCUAGUUUUACAUGACUUGCGGUUGCAAUAUCCUCUUCAUUUGUGCUACUAGAUAGUGUUUCGACCCGUCUGAAUGACUUCAGAUUUUUCUCUCUGACUUUACUAUUGACAACAUAAAUAAAUCAGCUGACAGUUUUUUUGACCCAUUAGCCGAUUUGAAAUUUUUCUCUUUACGAUACUAUUGGUAACAUAUAAAUCAACCGAAUCAUAUAUAAUUAUCAAUAAGUAUCGAUGUCUCUCAAAACUAAAAACAAUAGUGAAAAUAUGUGUCUAAUAUAACAUUAUGUUUUUUAUUGUACAUGAUACAUUAUAAUUCUUAGGAUCUUACAAUAUAUAAAAUUAUUUAAUUCUUAAACUUUUUGUACAUGUGUGCGGUUAGAGGAGAUUAUAUGUUUGAAAGUAAAAAUAAAUAUGUCCACAUCAAUGCAUUAUUCAUUUUAAAACAUCAAUGUACUUUUAAAUACUUAAUAUGAUAAGACUAGUUGAAUUCUAUACUUACGGAUUAAAUAUAUUUUGAGAAGAGUUACCCAUACUUAAUUCAAAGUUGAAAAUAUGUAAAACUUAAAAAGAUAUAUUGAAAGUAAAAACAGAUAUGCCCGCAUCAAGGAAUAACCGCCGUUAAGUAAGCCUUACGUAACGACAUUUACUCUUAUAUAACGGGCUUAAUUUUACCUCUUACGUAAGGAAUAACUGUCGUUACAUAAGUCUUACGUAACGACAUUUACUUUUACGUGUAACAUGCUUAAUUUUGCAUGUUACGUAACAACAAUUAUUUCUUAUGUAAUGAACUCAAAGUCACCGUACUUUGAGUUAAAGCAAGUCCAAUGACUUGACACAAAUGUUUGUAAAGGCAUCUGUGACAGACCAGUGGAGGCAUAUACUCACAUCUAGAUAAAAGCACUCAUCACAAUCAAUUUCUAUAUGUAUCAUCAUCAUCAUCCUUUGAAGCAACAGAGCAUUUCUGAUUUAACUAAUAGUUUGCCCGGUUAAUAGAAAAUAGAUAGUUUGGCAGAGUGCAGGCUUGAAUACGAGAAGGAAAGAGUCAAUGUUUAGAAGGUACGUAGCAGCAGGCAAUUCCAGCCUGCAUCAGACGUUACAAACAAAGACAAUAGUAAAACUUUUUUACAACGUUUGUUUGUUGACAAACACAAGAAGCAUAUCUAGAAUCCUUGAGUUCCUUUGGCAACUAUCCACUUGUCCAACCUUGGAGCUAUCGAUCCACCCUUCCUCGUAAUCACCAUUCACUUCUCAUAUUUAAGCUUACAAUUCUCUUUGGUCUCUGCAUCAUAUCCAUCAAUUUUCUCACCUGGGUUUUCAUUUUACGUCCCUAGUCCAAACCUUUACCUCCCUAUGGACCUGGACAGCAACUAUUUCCCUACCUUGAACCGAACCAGGAGCGGCUACGAGCCAUCCGAUGUCGAAACCGAUUGGAAAGAAAGCCCGUUCCGUGGCAACAACAACAACAUCAACAACAACUACAGAGCAGGUUUUGACUCAGACAUUGACUUGGAUUUACCAGCUGGAAAAAACCCUCCAGCUUCCAACAGACAAUUCAGGAGAUUUGAUGCGACUGAUGAUUUAUCUUCUUCCUCUGAAGGAGGAGCUUCAAUCUCCAGCAGCUUAGCUCGCAGGAAGACCAAGUCACCUCACAAGAAUCCUCGACCCAGGUCAGCUAGCGCGACCCGGGUCAGGACCCGGGAUAAAGUGGAGGCGGUGAAGAGGAAUCCACCUCCACUUUAUCCGGUCAGCUCCAAUUCAAGGAGUGCUUCAGUUGGGGAGCUGAAUGAGAUGAUUGGGACAAUGAAGCUUUCCACUAGAGGUCCUGGAACGAAUCAUCGUUUGUGCGAAAGCACGGAUGAUUUGACAGCAGGAGAUAUUUUCUUCUCCAGGGAUGUAACUACCCCAUUGCCUACUCAGAAGAACAACGGCAGUUACAACAAUAUGCCAUCCGCAAGGUUCGAGAAGGUUAACUUGGAUCACAAGGCAUCAACGGGGUCUUCCAAUUCGACAAGUUCGGGAUCGCGAACCACCACGAGCUCUAACUCUAUCCACAGCAGUAAUGGGAAGCUCAGUAGUGAUACUAGUAAAGUGAGUGAUGCAAGCGGAAGAACAAGUGACAGCACCAAGGCAUUUGUGGCUAACAGGAAGAAGUCGUCGCAGUCGGAUUCUAAUUGGCUUUCUUGCAUCAAAGGAAGGAGUUGUAGAGUGAAGAACUCACCCGAGAAGCAAAGAUUGGACGAGUCUUCGUUCAUUGCGAGGGCUAAUGUCGUUGAGAACUUGACGCAGUUUUGGGCUGAUAAGUAUCAGCCAAGCUCGCUGAAAGGGUUCACUUACCAUAAACAAGAGGCUCAGCUUCUCAGACAACUUGUAAGAGAAUGAUUUCAAAAUUCUAUUUCUUACCAAUCUGGAUUAAGACUUGAUAUCCCUUAAUUUGGUGUUCUCUUUUUCAUCAGGUGUCUCGUGAGAAUAUACCUCAUAUCUUGUUUAAAGGACCGUCGAUCUCUGGGAAGACAGCAUUGAUAAUGGCACUUCUUGGAGACAUAUUUGGUGAUGCUUGUCUCAACGUAUGUCUUUUUUUCCUGCACUUCAAAUCUUUGAUGAAGAAUACAAAAGACAAUCUGAACCCUCUCCCAACUACUUGAGUUAUUGGGAUGCAAUAGUUUAUGACAAAAUCAUUCAACUUACUUUACUCUUUCAAUGUUUGAUCUGAUAGGAUGGGAAAAUAUUGCUUCUUUUCUUUUGCAGAUGUCACAUGACUUGAGAUUCUUCCAGGCUCAGGUACUUUAGACUCAUCGCUCUCAGAUGCUAAUCUUUCUUUUCCACUGCAUUGUUCUGGAAUCUUGAGAACUAUCUUUGAUAUCUUGUGGUGUUUUUCCAGGAGAAAAAGGGAGCACAGGUUGUAGUUCCAGUAACAUCAAGCGCUCAUCAUGUGGAGCUCAACGUCAAAUCUGAACCUAAUGCCAUGAGUGCCUUGAUGGGUUUGGUGAAAGAGAUCAGCAAUGCAUACUCGCUAACUCCAGAUAUCAGCACGAUAAACCCGAGGCCGGAAUAUAAAGGUUGGAGCACCAGAAAUGUAAUAGGUUAUAUGGUCUCAGAAGAUUCUUUACUGGAAACACCCUUUUGAUUUUUUUUUUGUCUUCCACAGUGAUAGUUCUUUAUGAGGCAGACAAAGCACCAGAGAAUAUCCAGCACUUGAUCAAAUGGAUCAUGGACUGCUACACAGAUUGUUGUAAGCUCAUCCUCUGCUGUGACGAUGAUGUGGACGUGCUUGAAUCUGUCAGAAAUCGAUGCAAAGUUAUUAAUGUCAAUCCUCCCGCUACUCAUGAAGUACGUCCAGAAAAGGAAAAUUUUGAAACAUGAUCAUUUUAGCUUGAUGAACACUCAAAACUGAAAAAAAACCAUGAAUUACUGGCAGAUCAUGGAGGUUCUUGUUCAUAUAGCAAAGAAAGAAGAGUUUGAUCUACCGAUGAAUUUCGCUGCUAAGAUUGCUACAAAAUCAAAGGACUUGAGAAGGGCAAUCAUGGCACUUGAAGCUUGCAGAGCACACAAGUAAGAAAUCAUUAAAGGCAGAGCACACAUUGCAUCUUACACAUUCAUUCAACUAAAAAAACAUUUUUUUUGCAGUUAUCCUUUUGCCAAUGAUCAACCGAUUCCAAAUGGUUGGGAAGAGGUGUUGGUCGAAAUCGCCAACGAAAUCAUGGCUGAUCCGUCCCCUAAGAGGUCUGCAUUUUCUUCAUUGUUAUGUAUAAACCAACUAUGAAUGGAACUCAUCAAGUAAAAGAAGUGCAUACCUGUUUUGAAUUAUUAUUUCGGCAGGCUGUUUCUGGUAAGAGGGAAGUUGCAGAAGCUUCUUGUGGAUUUUGUGCAUCCUCUACUUAUCCUUCAGGUAAACUACCACACACAGACAGACACCCGCCAUUGUUGCUGCUGUUUUUUCUUUCUGCUAAUGUAGCCUGACAUUUUCUUACUACGAAACAACAGAAACUUGUCGAACAUUUCCUCAAGGAGAUGCCGUCCAGUUCCAAAAGAGAGCUUUACUAUUGGAAAAGCUACUAUGUAACGUUUCCUUUCUUCACGAUCAACAGUUUUUUUUUCUUUCUCCAAGUGGAAUUGUUUUUGAGUGUUGGUGCUUCAUGUUUCUUGCAGGAAAAGCGACUCCCAACAGGCACAACCGCCUUGCUCAAACUAGAAGGUAACUUGCUAUUCUAUCAAAUUGUAUACACCAGCAAAUUCGUAAGCCAUCUUAGUUUGGUACCAACUAUUCGAACUUUCUGCAGAAUUCGUGGCCAAGUUCAUGAGCAUGUACAGGAAGAGUAUCGGGAGUCCCCAAUUUUGAGCAAGAUCAUAUUUUCUGUGAUUCAAGCUCUCCGCCUAUUCAUUAGUCACAUAAAAUUUCUUGUAAAUUCGGCCUUCCCUUUCGAAAAUCUAAGCUGCCAUUGCAACAGCAUGCCUGCAGCUCCUAUCAUUUAUUCACAAUUUUCCGAUUCUAUAUUGUAUUGUCUGCCUCAACUCAUAAGGGAAUGGUUUCUCUGCAACUCAUUUUUGCUUUCCACACACCAUACAACAUCUGAUCUUACUUGGUAAUGAUAUAGCAAGGGGGUUCAAAGAAUGGAAAACAAUGAAGCAUCCAGCAAGGAUUUCGAAUCUUAGCUACGUACAUGUUUCAUGAACCAUCGUUCCUUUUAGCUAAUCAAUCUUUAGUCAGAAUAAAGGGAGGGAAAAAGUGGCAGAUGCAGCCAAGUCGAUAACACCAACUCCCUUACAAUUUACAGUAAUCAAAAACUUCAUCUCCAGUUUUCAUCAGCUGCGUUACGUGUAUUGGUGGAUUCCUCCCAUUGUUCUGGAGCUUCAGUCCUGCGGCUUGCUACUGCUUUCAGAACGCUUGUUCCCUGUGUACUUCUGCAAAACAUUAUACAAUAUACGUAAGAUGAUAGAAGUAAAACAAUGGUAAUUGAUUAUGUGUUGCAGAUUACUGAGCCUAUUACUGACCUUCUUCCCCAAGUCAAACGGAAUAUACUUAUACUUGAUCAUAUGCAUGACUUGUCUUCUCAUUGUGAGGACAAAGAGAACAAUCCAGUAAAUCACUAAGAUCGGCCAGAACACAGGUACGUCCAGCACAGAGAAAAAGGUCAUGACCAGAGCAACUAGGAACGCCUUGGUUAUCGCGUACCUGGGAACAUGACAAACCAAAUGUGACGAAAUCCCUUUCGAAAUGCAAUAUGAAGUAAUGAAACUGAUGAACCAGAUAAACUAGCUAGGCACAUUUUCCUUCAUACAAGAGUUUCAGCAAAUACUCUAUGGUGUUCAACAGUAACAAUUAUCGAUUUGAACCAGUAUCAAUGAUCCGUUCCUUGUUGCUAGGUUGCAUUCAAUAACAAGGAAUUGUUAAAUUAGGCAUCAUUGAUCAACACUCGGUGAGAUGUUGAUAAAGCGAGAGAGAACUGCAACCGCCAAGCAAGAACAAUAGAUCUACCAGUAAUUCUUAAUCGAGUUUCUGGCCUAAGCUAACAAACACAUCGACGGUUCUUCUGAAAACUAGCAAACUAGUAAUAGUCAACAUUCAGCUGAAAUACUAAAAAACUACCAGAAUUAGCAACGAGCUGAAGGAAGUUGUACCAGAAUUUGAACUCAGGCAGUCGGCGAACAAAAGGCUUGAACUCAUCGGAAGUCUUGGUCGGUAGGGAAGGUCCAUCGACCGAUUCAAGCUCCGGAUCAACCUUUGGGGACAGGAAUCCAAUCAGCAGAUUCAAAAUGUAGAUCCCGAGCCCGUAGGAGACGACGUAAAACCCUUGGACAUAGUAAAUCCGCAAGACGUAGAGAAUCGCCACCGCAAGGGUUCCUAGCCACCUGAGCAUCGGCUGAGGCACCGAUCUGUCGAGAUAGUGCUGAAACACCCUGGAGAAGUCGCUGCUCCACUUGACGAGCUGGGGGACGCCUUCACUUCCCGGUUCCGCCAUGGAUUCUAAUCUGAAGAGGUCGUGGCAAGGGUUUCUAGAAGUAGCGAAUGGUAAGUUGCUGGUUGCGUAAGUUUGGGAGCUGAGGAGAAAGUAGAAACGCUUUGCUGCAGCUGCUGCUUUGAUUCUUGUAGGGAAGAGAGAGAAAAAAGAGAGGACGAGAAGUGAGAAGGAAACGCUAACGGCCAAAUUUUGUCCUCAGUUACCGUCACCACGUAAAGAAAAGUAAAUCCCGAUUCUGCCGCAGUUGGACUCAAUGAACCGGCAUUUUUCUAUCAGUUAUUUCCGGAGCUAAUACCCGAGCAAACCGUUUGGUUCGAUCUAAAAGCUUUGAAUCUUUCGUUAUGUUGGUAUAGCCUGCUACGGGUUUGGUACCAAUAAAACCUCCAAAAUCAUCCCAAAUUUCACUUCGAUUUAGGCCUCAGCUCGUAAAUCUGGCUAUUUAAAUAUACCCGAAUUUCUUUUCUGAUUCGCUUUAGGUUGGUUUAUAUGUGUUUCACUGACUACUCAAAAUGAAAUGGUUGGCUAUUUAACCAUUUCAUUGGCUCAACUCAAAAUGAAAUGGUUGGCUAUUUAACUAUAUCCGGUUUCGAUGCCAGGCAAGGAAGGUGCAAGAAAGAGGAUGGCAGCCACGUGGUUCCGACGAGACCACGAUUGUUGCUACCGUUACAGAGGAGUCUACUGGGAAGCUGGGGAAAGGAAGGAUUGUGAUUCAAAUACACAAUCAAAAUAACAGUAGAUAAGAUACUUGGAUAGUGGGAACCCCUUCAAAACCAAAGAGGGGACUUACUAACUUUAGAGAUCAGCAUCAUCAGUAUAGUCGAUUGGAAGUAAGAAUGUAAAACACUAAAGCAUCCAGCAAGGAUCCGAGUCUGUCCGACUUUAACUAUAUGCAUACACCAAUCUAAAGGCUAAUUCCACGGUUUCUGUCCAACACCAGCGAAUAUCACGAUGUCUCCUCCUGCUGAUAACAACACAUCAGCAGGAUCCCAAGUUCUUCAGUUUUGUAAGACUCGUGCAACAAUCUUCAACAGCAUUGGAUCGGAUCGUCGAGUGGUUCCACUGUUUCAGUCCCGGGACUUGCUACUGCUGCUUUCAGAACGCUUACUCCCAGUGUACUUCUGCAAACAUUAUCAAAUACCAAGUUACAAUAUCAAACUGGAGGGAUGUAACAUAAAAGGAGAGGAUUCAACUAAGAAGAGUUCAACCCCUCAUGCAUUACAAACAGCUAACUGACCUUCUUUCCCAAGUCGAAUGGGACAUACUUAUACUUGAUCAUAUGCAGAAUUUGUCUCUUCAUUGUGAGAACAAAGAGAACAAUCCAAUAAAUCAGGAGGAUAGGCCAGAAAACCGGCACGUCCAGCACAGAGAAAAAGGUCAUGACGAAUGCAACUAUAAAAGCCUUGGUGAUGGCAUACCUGCAACCAUAAGACUGGCAACUGUUAUGUCAAAACAGUUACUACCGUUACAUUUCAUCCACAUCCUACAAGCUCAAAUCAUUUGAUGUACUUCACUCAUGGCAAUAAUAUAUAGAGGGAGAUGCUGACAGUAGAAGCACUUUGGAAGUUAGGUUCAACCGCUGCACAUAUAGAUGCUUAACUUAGCAUAAAAACUCUUAGCAUCUAGCCAUCUACUAAGCAAAAAUCAGGCAAUCCCAUGGAUGCUAUUCACAUCCCCAUUCAUGGACAACAAAAGUUUCAGCAACAAAACAGAUGCUGAUCCUUGUUGAUUUGGUCAGUGAUGAGUGAUGACUUUAUAAGAUAUCAACCUUCUUGAACCAAAACAAUCAAUCCAAGCUGAUCCACCAACGAACUUUCCUAUCAGAAAUUCCACCACUAAGAUAAGAUCACUUGCGAUUUCUAUUCUUGCUUCUGACCUUGGCCAAACCUAGGGCUCCUAGCCUUCUCUAUCGCAGUUUCCAAACAAGCAUCCCGAUGGUUCAUACCGAAUGUAUUCUUACGUAUCAUCCUAAGAAUAAAAUCCAUUUAUCUAAAGCAGAACAAAGAAAAUUUACCAGAACUUGAAUUCAGGAAGCCGGCGAACGAACGGCCUGAACUCAUCUGACGUUUUAGUCGGCAAGGAAGCGCCGUCCAGCGAUUCAAGAGCUUCAAGCUCGGGAUCAACCUUCGGAGACAGGAAACCGAUCAACAGAUUCAAGACGUAGAUCCCAAGCCCGUAAGAAAUGACAUAGAAACCCUGGAUAGAGUAAACCCGCCAGACAUAUAUCAGCGCCACCACCAGACUCCCCAGCCACCUCUGCAGUGGGAGAGGCGCGGAUCUGUCGAGAUAGUACUGGAACGCCCUGGAAAAGUCGGCUUUCCACUUGACGAGCGGCGGCACGGUUUCACUUCCUCCUCCUGCGUCCUCCAUAGGAAAUAUCGAGCCAAUUAGUUCGUAGCGAACAAGCAAAGCACGACCUCGCGGAGAUUGAGGCGACGGAGAAGGUAGGGAAACUAGUAUGACGCUCAGCUGACGCGGCGGCGGUCGCUUCUCUUCAAUGGAGUUCCAGUCGUUUUCUUGCUUAUGGAGGAAAGCCCGGAAAAAUAGAUGACCUAUGGUUGUGGGGAGAGAGAAGAAAGGUAAGGAUGAGGAGGCAGUAACAACAUACACCCGUGCGUACGUAUCGAGAAUAUGAAUCUUACUUGCGAUUUGUGCCACGAGGGUUUAUUGUUGUGACUAGUCCUUCUAUUCAACGGCUUAGAUGAGAAGUCAAAUUCGAGAACAUUCGUACCCACAGGAUCAAAAUUCUGUCAAGCGCUCGUCAUCCAACGGCUGAAAUGCACCUAUGACUUCGUAUUGAAAAUGGCUCCUGUCCUGGUCUACUGAAGUCAUCUCUCGACCUUUCUGGAAAGAAAUAUUAAUAAGCAGCAGAUUUCUGCUCCUCCACGCUUCUCCGCUCUUCCUUUUUCUCGUUUUUGCAUUACUGGUUUCUCCGCAAGGUCAUAGUCCAAGUGAGUCACCCUCUUCCAUGAGCUCCAUCGCUUGUUUCUAUCGCAAGAUUUUAUGGCUUCCGAUUUAACUUUUCAUCAGCCGUCAACGAACCUGUUGCUGCGUUUCUUUCUUGGUUGAUUGAACUGAUGAAAUGGUUUACUGAAUCGCAUUUAGUACGAUCAUUUUGCUUGAUAGUUGUUGCCUCUCUUUUCCCAGCAAAUGGAUAAAUUAAACAGUUCCAGUUUCUGGCCGUGAGCCUAGUUUGUGUACUAUUUGAUUAUACAUGUCCCUUGAUGAUUUGCAUGUUGGGGGAUCGGGGCUAACGAGUGGCACUUGGAUUAGCUAUUUAGCUCCUAUGGAUGUUCGAUUGUGGAGAGUUUGUUCUCAUCUUUGUUAACUGUUUCUGCUUUAUAUCAUCUUUCUGGUGCGUUUUGUUUAAUCCUUGAGUUCGAUUCUCCGAUCAUUAACCCUGAUCACCCAUUGGUUCAUUGGUUUCGUUUAUAUUGAUCUGUGUGCUUUUUUGGCUGUUCAUUUAAUAUAAAUUCAUGGCGUAUAAUCCUUUUUGGUUUUGAGAUUGUUGGACUGCUUUUUUGCACCAUAAAGUUUGGAUCAAUCUAUAGCAGAUUAGUUUCAGGAAAUGAUUUUAUUCUAGAUUUUGUUCUGUGUGAUUAUAUGAUGUGGGUCUGAUUGAGUUAAGGUUGACGUGUUUGAAGCUGAGUGGAAAAUAAGGAUGGCCGGCAAUGAUGGAGAAGCCAGCAAACCCUCACAGCAACCCCGUCCAGCACUCAAUGAAAGGAUCCUUUCUUCAUUGACACGAAGAUCUGUUGCGGCGCAUCCGUGGCAUGAUUUGGAGAUUGGUAUAUCCUUUUCCAUGCUGCAGUUGUUUUAACAGUUAUGUUGAGCCCGUCUGGUCAUCUUCUUCGUUGCAUUCUGCCCCCACUGACUCUGUUGAACUUCCACAUCUAUGUAGGACCUGGGGCACCAUCUGUAUUCAAUGUUGUAAGUAUGCUUUCCGAUAAGAUUUCAUUAUAUUAACCAUGAUACAGGUUGGAAAUUAUCGGGAACUUUAUCGAGUAUCCUCGAUAACAUUGAAGAUAUUGCUCGGAUCUGAUUGGGACAUUUACGUUGAAUGCUGUAAAUAUGACCAACUGGGGUCACUAAGUUGCCUUUUGAUGGACACUGUGGUGUGAAAUGGCAGGUUGUUGAAAUUAGUAAAGGCAGCAAAGUUAAGUAUGAGCUUGACAAGAAAUCUGGCCUCAUAAAGGUAAUAGCUUCUCCCUUCCAUGUAUCUAUAGGUUAAAUUUUAAAACAAGUUGCAAUGCAUUAAGCGAAGUAAUUUGUGCUGCGAUUUCACAAUUUUGAAUAGGUUGAUCGUGUUCUGUACUCAUCGGUUGUGUACCCGCAUAACUAUGGUUUUAUUCCGAGAACCAUCUGCGAGGAUAGUGAUCCUAUGGACGUCCUGAUACUGAUGCAGGUAACUUGUUUGAGCGACUACUUCUUAAUUUGCGGUGAGGAUAAAUUAUCUUUAAAUUUGAAAUUUCAGACAUCUGACUAACAUUUCCUGUUCUACUUUUGCGUAGGAACCUGUCCUGCCUGGUUCUUUCCUUCGUGCUCGUGCCAUAGGAUUAAUGCCUAUGAUUGACCAGG
rnacentral:lncRNA from 1 species